UGACUAAAAAGUUAAAACUUAAACUACAUGGCGGUAGUUAGAAAUUUCAGGGGAACUUGCCAGAUAAAUGAUAAUCCUCAAAAUAACGCUACUUCUAUUUAAAGUUUGUAUAUCGCCGUCGUCAGUAUUCAUUUUAGAUGAAUUCAAAAUGUUAAAUAACAAAAAGACAGGUUUUGAUGCAACCAAUAUAGAAGUCUAGGUGAGUUACAAUAAAAAUUAAAUUUGGAACCAUUCUGAAAUUUAAUGGAAAAAGUGGACUUGAAAGUAAC
rnacentral:rRNA from 1 species